rnacentral:rRNA from 1 species
CCUACGGGAGGCAGCAGUGAGGGAUAUUGCGCAAUGGAGGCAACUCUGACGCAGCCAUGCCGCGUGCAGGAAGAAGGCGCUUACGCGUUGUAAACUGCUUUUGAUCGGGAAGAAACCCCGGGACGUGUCCCGGAUUGACGGUACUGAUGGAAUAAGCACCGGCUAACUUCGUGCCAGCAGCCGCGGUAAUACGAAGGGUGCAAGCGUUAUCCGGAUUCAUUGGGUUUAAAGGGUGCGUAGGCGGAACAAUAAGUCAGUGGUGAAAGCCCGCAGCUUAACUGCGGAAUUGCCGUUGAUACUGUUGUUCUUGAGUACGCUUGACGUGGGCGGAAUGUGCCGUGUAGCGGUGAAAUGCUUAGAUAUGGCACAGAACACCGAUAGUGAAGACAGCUCACGAAGGCGAAACUGACGCUGAGGCACGAAAGCGUGGGGAUCAAACAGGAUUAGAUACCCUGGUAGUCCACGCCGUAAACGAUGAUCACUCGUGGUUGGCGAUAUACGGCCAGUCACCUAGCGAAAGCGUUAAGUGAUCCACCUGGGGAGUACGUUCGCAAGAAUGAAAC